UGGUGGGUUUUUUUUUUUUCUCUUUUAAAUCAGCUUUAUUUUUCUAACUGUUAUUUCAAUUUCCCAUAGCACCUUGGCAAUGUCAAAAACAAAUACAAAUACAUGUAUUAUCAUUUGAACACUUAAAGCAUGAACCUACUUUACACAAAUUUUGUUUUGGACAUUUUGACAACAGGAAUAAACCAGAACAGACAGUCUAAAAGCCAGGUAAGUCGCUUUUUUCUCCUUUCCUACCACUUUGAAGAGAGAUCGUCAAUGCCAAGGGGAAGCUGGAUUCAUCCGGGAGGAACAAGAUGUCUGUAGUAACUCGAGCUCAAUAUAUUAUCUGAAUAUUUUGUAUUCUAUAAAAAUUAGAACAAAACCCAUUUAUGCACAGUCUGUUUACAUUUGAAGUUGCAUUUUUUUUUUUGGAAACUGUAUCCAUAACUGAAGUUCCAUAAAAAUAAACAUCUGGUUCUUAAAUAUAAAACUUUAAAGUUGUUACAGGUUAGUUUGCAGAUGGAUUUUUUUUUUUCAGAAAUAAGUUGCUUUAACUCCAUUUCAAGUCCUCCCAACUGUACAUUAAAAACAGACUCAAUGAACCUCUUGAAGUGCCUGAGCUAAAGGCACUGAAGAGAAGAGCCAACUAAAAUACUACAACAACCCAAAAUUAUGUACCAUCCUAAAGGAAGCUCAGACUAUAUGGAAUAUAUACACGCAAAGAAGAGCAUGAUAAAUCAUUCAGAUUAAUGGCAACAAUCUUAACGUUUCAGAAGGAAAUAUCAAAAUUAGAAACAAAAACUCUAUUGCAUAUCUGUAGUAAUCAAGGAUUUACAAAAAAACUCAUCAGAAGCCAUUUCCCCCCGAAGUGCAUUUCUGUUGCAUCAUCUGUAAUACAAUGGUGCAUUUUACAAAUUUAAAAUAUCAUCUGUACAUACCAGAUAUCUCAGCCCAGGUAAACUCAACCUGGGAACAGUAAAAAUCGCAGACAGUUUCAAGACAAUGAAGCUGAUAUUGACAAAGUAGUAAGGCCAUAGCUAUUUAACUACAGUAAAGCAUUGAUUAAGUCACUUAUUUGCUACUGAUCUGCCACAGUAUCAUCUUUCUCUUCUGGUUAAUAGUGGGUUACUUUUUAUUUUUUUUUCCUACAGCUAAAACUGCACCAUCAUACUGUGCCAGGCUAAUUAAAGAAAAACAAAAAAAAACAACAAAACAACAAGAGCAGGAAUGUAAGAUACUAUAAAACUAACUUAAUGUUAGAAAUCAAAAGAAACAAAACUUUUUGCACUUUUAGUUUUACUAUCACAUGCAAAGAAUUUCUUCUUUUCGCUCCCCAGCAGAAGCACGAGAGAGUGCCCCAAUCUUUUCCACACGCAGUAAUUUGGAAAAGACCUGAACUGGGAAGUGUAUUUCUGUCCCAAACAGAAGUCAACAACUCUGAAAACAAGUCACAGUUCCUAAAACUGAAAGUUAGGUGUGAUUUGCACCUCCUGGUAUUUAACAUCAGCGGAGCAGGACAGUUUGUAUCCCGGGAGGGCAAACCCAGAGGGACCAGGAGAGCUCUGGGCACCUGGAGAGCACCUGGAGCCAGGUGAGCCCAGGAGCCUGGGUCUGGUUCCAAACCACCCCUCUGUCCCAGUUUCCCCAGUCUGCCCAACUGGAAACUGCUGGCACAGACACGAGAUCCCAGCACGAGAGAACAAACCCCUGCCAGCUCCCAGUGCUGAGGAGAACUCCCACCCCAACACAGCUUCACAGCCUCUGCAUCCAACUGGGAAUUUCCCCCUGCACAGAAAACAAUAGAAAGAAAAAAAAAAAAAACCAAAAAAAACCACCAAACCCCAAACCACAGCUGGAAAUGGUGGAAUUUGAAACGUGAAAUCCUCGCAUGCAGGUGUGAAAUUCAUCGUUCCAAGUGCCCUAAGCUGAGGGAAGUUUGGGUGUGCUGGGCAAAGGCUGACCCGCAUCCCCUGCUGCUGCUGGGACAGCCCAGGGUCCCAGAGCGCCCCUUCCCACACCCCACGGGAAGGUGGAGCCACAGCUGGCUGGGUUUUCCCUCAAAGCUCCAUUCCACCACUCAGGUCCUGGAGCCACAGCUGGCUGGGUUUUCCCUCAAAGCUCCAUUCCACCACUCAGGUCCUCUCAGCACAAGCAAGUCACUGACACUGGAUCAGGGAAUUUUUUCCCAGCCCCUUUUCCUCUCCAUUCCUCCUCCAAACAGCCAAAGCUGUCAGAUCCCAACGCUGCCUCAACGUCCCAGAACACAUCUCCCCUAAACACCCAUGAACCACCCUACAGGCUUGUUUUGUUCCAGUUUGGCUGCAGGAAUUGUUUAGAGCCUUUAAAACUAAUUCAACUUUGCAUUCACUGCAUUUCAGGACUUUGACACUAAAUAUUUAAACUUGCCUAUAGUUCCAACAAGAGUAGCAUUAGUAAAAUAAAUGGAGAAGGGUCUGUAAGGAUCCCUAACUGUGGAUGUGAUCAACGAUUUUUUUUUCACUAAAUUAAAAAAAAAACCUCCCAAACCCAGUACAGGUAGUUUCAAAGUGAAUAGUGAUUUUAGGGUUUAUAUAUACACAUAUAUAUAUAUAUAUAAAUAUAUAUAUAUGUAUACAUACUUCAGGACCCGAGGAAAUGGCAGGAAGCUGAGUUGGGGAAGGCUGAGGUGGGAAAUCAGGAAAAAGUCCUUUCCCAGAGGGAUGUGGGGCACUGAAGAGGCUCCCCAGGUGGAGGGGUCACAGCUCCAAGCCUGUCUGAUCUAAAAGCAUCCAGACAAUGCUCUCAGGCACAGGGUGGGAUUUUGGGGUGUCUGGGCAGGGCCAGUUGGGACUCCAUGAUCCUGAUGGGUCCCUUCCAAGUCAGCCCAUUCGGUGAUUCUCUGACUCUCUCUUUUGUAACAUGCCUAGAAAUGAACAGUUAACUGCAUAAAUACAUUAUAUCGUGUUAUGAAUCAACUCAAAGCAAUUGCCAAGCUGAAUAAUAAGUUAGAGAAAUGACAACUCUGGCUUUAUAUAUAUAUUUAUAAAAAUAGAUAUGAGUGUUCUCCAAGCAGUUGAUAGAGAAUUCCUACUGAGGCCCAAGUCGCCAAGGGUUAUCUGGCUAAGAAAUCAGAAGAUGAAAAAUUUCACAGUUAUUUUAACUGCCACUUACAUUCAUUCUAUGGCAACACGAGCAUAUAUUACUAAGAUGGUUACGGAAUAUAUCACAAUUGAGUUUUCCAGUGUUCACAACUUACAACUUUAAAUUUGUACACUUGCUAUUCACUAAAAAAAAAAAAAAAAAA